rnacentral:lncRNA from 1 species
GUUUAUAUUAUCUCAGAGGAAAUGCCCAUCUCUGUUCCAGAAGCAAUCAUGCAAAAGCAAACGGAGCCUCAACUUGAAGAAAAAGAUGUGGAUGCUAAAGAGAGAGAAGAUUUAACAAUGGUUGCUAUUGAAGACUGCCAUGAGGUUGAGCAUACCAUAGAUGAGAUGGAGCCAGAAAUAGAAAUAGUACCUGCAGAUGAAGACAAAAUAGAAGUUGUACCAGAUGAAGCUCAUUUAAAAUCUGCUUCAGAGGAGAUUCAAAAUGUAGAUUUGAAUGAGGAGACGACACCUUCUGUUAUCACUGAAACGAUACUGCAGGAUUUGUCUAUUUCCCCCAAGGAAGUAGAGACAGAGGAGUUUGACUAUGAGAUUGUAACUAAACAUGAAGCAAACGAAUCACACCAGACUGAGGUUGAACCAGAGGAACCAAAGCAAGAUCUGGACAAACAUACAGAGACAGUUGGCAUGGAUUUAGAUGAGGAAACUAUUGAAAAUAAAGAGGAUGUUGAGGAGCCAAUACUUGAGGGCGACAUGGAGGAGGACGCAGGUGUGUGCUCGUCUCUGAAAAGAUUUACUCCUCUAGAAGAUCUGUCUGGAUUACACGCCGGAGACGUGAACCUAGAAACCGCAGACUUGGAUCAUAAUGCUUUGGGACAGGACGAUGAAAUGGAUAUUACUGAAGAUUUAGAAGACGUGUGCAUGCAAGAUGAUGUGCCACAAACUGAGAGAAAAGAGAGUCCUGAUGUGACCAUGGAGGAGUAUGAAAUUAUAACUGAACAAGACGCGCCAGAGAUGGCACAAGCUGAAAUGGAGGGGGAAAAUUAGAAAUGGUGAAAGAGGAUGAAAUAAUGCCAGAAGAGGAAGUUUUGGAAGAAACCGCAGACACAGAGCUCACAGAGGUGGACUAUGAGACCAUUGAUGCAGAGGAGGAGCGCCAGGCUCGACUGGCAGCUGAGUUGGUGGGGUUGGACUGGUACUGUGUGACCUGCGGAGGUCUGCUGUCGAGCAGGAGAGCCGCUCUGAGCCACAUCAG